AGGUGACAUGGAGACCUUUCUUGAGAAUGAAGCCCUGACCCACCCAGGGAGGCCAGCCCAAAAAGGUGGACAGCUGGGAGAUGAAUAGAUUCUCCUCCACACUCCUAUGUCUGGGAAAAUGGAUUUUAGCUCUGAGGCACUCCCCAAGUAACCUGAGUCACGGCAGUGUGAGUCCUCCAAACUCAGCCCAGCAGUCAAACAGCACCAGGUGAUGAAUGAAUCCUGUCUGGACGCUGGCUCUGUAAGGAAAGCAGCUUUUAAAGGAACCUUCAGCUUUUACUACCAAUUCCAGCUCAGAAACGACCAACUCUUCAGAGAGCUCAAAGGAAUUCUCAGCUGGCCCUGAGGACACUCCAGCCUACCAUGGUGGUUUAAGAAGGCUGAAACAGAAGUCUUGGCAAAAUUUCCAUGAUCUAACGGGAGAAGAAAAGUGGAAAAGUGGCUGCUGUUGGAGGGGCCGUGUUGGCCCGCACAGGGCAGAGGGACCUGCCCUCUGGUCACUGCCACCCUGAGCCAGGAGAAAGUGCCAUGGAAAAACAAGAAGCAGGCUGAAGAGCAAUAUUAAUGGGGAAAGUCACCUCCUUCCUUCUUUGUCGAUGAAACAGCUUGUUCCAGGUAUUUUGUUUUUGAACAGAACAAACGGCUGCUGUCUUUCCAAAGGCCUUCAGCCUCAGGAAGAAGCAUCCCAGGAGCAGGCAGGCUCACCGGUACCAGCGUUGCUCAUCCCGGGAAUUGCUCACUGAGCAGCAGGAGAGCUGAGAGCCAGACUCACAGCUUAGCUGUGCUCCCUCUUGCUCAACAUCCAUCAGGAUGCAGUGUUGGGAUCCAUCCCCAGAUAAAUAUACCUCUAAGAUUCCCCUCAUAUAAUUAGGCUGCAGCACAGUUCCCUUGGGGCAUUUGAUGAGUAGAGUCUCCCUCUUGGAGCUCCUUUCUACAACUGGUACUUCCUGGGGAGGUUUUCUGAAACCCCACAACUGGGGUUUGAGGCUCUAAGGUAUUGCAGAACUUCUUUUCCCAGACAUUGAGCUUGGCACACUAUCUGUGAAAAAGAGAUAGUCAAAAUGAAUAGAUUCAAAUCUUACAGAAAGUGAUUUAAGUCCAGUGCAUGCUUUGUAGCACACUUAGAAAUAAGAUUUCCAUGCAGAUAUGUAGCCCUCCUUAGGCAAUUCCUCAUAAAAUCCUCUUAUGUUUGGACAGAGAAGUGCUCUCUAUGAUGGAAAUGCCCAGAGCUCUCAUCUUCUAGAGUUUGACUGUCCUGGUGAGACUCAACAAAUGAUCACUGUGUCCUUUGUAUUGCAACUUGGCAUUGUUUUCUUUUCCUUUGUCCAGGGCUGCCCUCCAGUGCAGCCAUACAGGGUUGUAUGCUAGAUACAUCUGUGAUGUAUGUUCAUAACAUCUACAACAUCAGAAAGAACUCAUCAGCUGUACAUUAACCUAUUCCCUAGGCUGUCAGGAUUUUCAGAAAAGGCUAACAAGUUCCAAGGCCUUCAACUCAUGGUGCUUCGGUCAGGAUUACUGAAAGCAAACUGGAUUGUGUCCAGAACUUCCUGAGUGCACAAGGUUUUGCAGCUUUGAGAAAUCAGUUUACAGCAUAAAAAAACCCUCAUUGAUUGUGAGAUCACACCGGGCUGUAAGUAGGCUGCAUGUUAUUUGAGAAUUUAGUGGCAGUAUUAGCCUCACCAUAAAAACCUGAAGGUUUUCACCUAGCCACACUUUUGGCAGAGUUAUAAAGAUGUAACACCCUUUCUCAGUGGAUAGAAACGUUGGGUUUGUGUCACAAAAGUCCUCAGUCAGACUAGAGUCCAAACUGGUGUUAAACACAGAUACAGAUACAGUUGCCUGCCCCCCACUCCCUUCUUUUCUGCAUCACUUUGCACAAGUGUUCUGGAUCAAUUGUUCUGCAGUAACCCUAAAGGAAAUCCAUGAGGGCCACACAAUUGAUAAAAACGAAAUAGAAAAAUCACAAAAACAUACACCUUCUGAGAAGUAAGGGGGAGAGGAGAGCCAGUGGGUAAUUCACCAAAACAAUAUAUUUUAAGAUUACGUGAAAACUCCACUUAAAAGCUGUGCUGUAGAAGAUAUCUCAAUUGCACUUACUUGCACCCUUAACUUGGAUACUUCCAGAUACAGAGUUCAGUUCCCAGUUGCACACAGGGAUGAUGCUUUCUGGUUUUAGUAGUAUCUUCAUUACGUUCUUGUUCAGCACGAGCUUAUCUGUUUAUAUGUACCUGUUUGGUCCUGGAAAAAUAAGUUUUGGGUUUUGUUUGUUUAAUUUAAAGGGAAAUUAAAGGGUUCUACAAACAAUGAAAUCGACAAAAAUUAGAUUAAGGUGGAGACCAGUUAGAAAUUACUCUGUCAAGAGACACAAAGAGAUGUCUAUGUUUCAGUUAAGAAUACUAUUUUUUCCAGACAAUGAUGUAUUAAAUAACACAGAUUUUGUAAACCUUCAUGCUACUAAACUGCUUGAUGCUAGGAAGUCAAAUCGAUAGAGAGCUUUUACUUUGUCUUCACUCCAUUCUACAAACAUAGCCAGAUGGAUUAAGGUGAAGGAAUAAAAACAUGACAUGAGGAUGUCAUUGCUGUGACUCAUACCUGAGCUACCCCAAAAAUGAAGAGUUUGGAGGAGACAGUUGUCCUUGGAGCACUGUCUUGGAACUUCCCCAGGAAUAGAUCUGGUGGAAGAAAGUCACAAGUGAGAAGUACCAGAAGUUGAAGCGGCAUUGGGAUGAAAAAUGGACUAUUGCUUCUCCAUGCAUGGCUCUUGCUCGUGGGCUGCAGGGGUGUCUGCAAUCACAUGCAGAUUGCCCUCUCUGACCAGAAAACCUGUGAUAACACUCACAGGACUUUUUUCUUAGUAGAAGAAAUCGAUUGAACCCACCCCUUUUCUCAUUCCACUUUUGGAAAGGGAAAGAAACACUGAACUUUCCUAGCUUUUAUAGCACUGCUGACAAAUGGCAAUCAGGGAGUUCUACACACAGUAACUAGAAGGGUGAUGAGGCACGAGCAGCCACUUGUGCAUUUCAGUAGUUUUGAGAUAGCCUAAUCAAUGUUUAUUUGUUUUGAUUCUCCCUAGUAGUGAGCAGAGGUUACAUGGGCACACCAAUGAAACAAUUAAAUGUGAAUUUAGGCAUAGAAUUUUGAAGAUUUUAUGUGACUUUAUGUUGGCCAACAGCAGAAAUAAACUACAGUUAUUUUGAUAUUUGGGAUGGUUGUAUUGGUAACAACAAUAUUUAAGGUGAACUUCAAAAGAUGGCUUUGUCUUUUGCUGAAAU